GCCACCGUAGCUCAGUGGUUAGAGCACUGGUCUUGUAAGUCUUUAGAUGUAUUUCCAGUCCGCAGCUCAACAAUCUAGUUACAGUCCUGCGUACCACCAUAGCUCUGCUGUUAGAGCACUGGUCUUCUACACCACGGGUCGUGAAUUCAAUCCUCACUGGUGGCU